rnacentral:rRNA from 1 species
UACGGGGGGGGCAAGCGUUGUUCGGAAUUACUGGGCGUAAAGGGCGCGUAGGCGGCUUGGCAAGUUGGGCGUGAAAGCCCUGGGCUUAACCCAGGAAUUGCGCUUGAGACUGCCAGGCUUGAGUGCGGGAGAGGUGAGUGGAAUUCCCAGUGUAGAGGUGAAAUUCGUAGAUAUUGGGAAGAACACCAGUGGCGAAGGCGGCUCACUGGCCCGCAACUGACGCUGAGGCGCGAAAGCGUGGGGAGCAAACAGG